rnacentral:tRNA from 1 species
GGCCGGUUAGCUCAGUCAGCUGAGCGUAGCACUAUCAAUGCUAUGGUCGCAGGUUCGAUUCCCGUUCGGUCC